GAUGAACGCUGGCGGCGUGCCUAAUACAUGCAAGUCGAGCGAAUGGAUUAAGAGCUUGCUCUUAUGAAGUUAGCGGCGGACGGGCGAGUAACACGUGGGUAACCUACCCAUAAGACUGGGAUAACUCCGGGAAACCGGGGCUAAUACCGGAUAACAUUUUGAACCGCAUGGUUCGAAAUUGAAAGGCGGCUUCGGCUGUCACUUAUGGAUGGACCCGCGUCGCAUUAGCUAGUUGGUGAGGUAACGGCUCACCAAGGCAACGAUGCGUAGCCGACCUGAGAGGGUGAUCGGCCACACUGGGACUGAGAAACGGCCCAGACUCCUACGGGAGGCAGCAGUAGGGAAGCUUCCGCAAUGGACGAAAGUCUGACGGAGCAACGCCGCGUGAGUGAUGAAGGCUUUCGGGUCGUAAAACUCUGUUGUUAGGGAAGAACAAGUGCUAGUUGAAUAAGCUGGCACCUUGACGGUACCUAACCAGAAAGCCACGGCUAACUACGUGCCAGCAGCCGCCGUAA
rnacentral:rRNA from 1 species